rnacentral:piRNA from 1 species
UGCAACAGCCUGAACAAAGGCAAUUG